rnacentral:rRNA from 1 species
UACGUAGGGGGCGAGCGUUGUCCGGAAUCAUUGGGCGUAAAGCGCGUGUAGGCGGCCCGGUAAGUCCGCUGUGAAAGUCCAGGGCUCAACCCUGGGAUGCCGGUGGAUACUGUCGGGCUCGAGUCCGGAAGAGGCGAGUGGAAUUCCUGGUGUAGCGGUGAAAUGCGCAGAUAUCAGGAGGAACACCAAUUGCGAAGGCAGCUCGCUGGGACGUCACUGACGCUGAGACGCGAAAGCGUGGGGAGCAAACAGG